GUGGGCAUCACACAAGGCAGCGGCAAGUGGGAAGAUCACUACUGACUUGACAUCUUCAGCUCUCUUUACAGAAAGAAAUACAGCUGGACUCCACGUGCCUCCUGACAGGCUUAUAUAAGACUGCCUAUGAGAUGUUUUUGCAUGAAAAGUGGGAUAAAAUAAAACUAUCAUCCAAAUCUCACCAAAACUCCAGGCCUAACAACCAAUUUACAGAAAAUACGGGAUUCAAGGGAAUUACUCAGCUGGUAUACAGCAAAAUGUAGACUGUAAAACAUCUUUUUAGGACAAACCACCCAGAUUCUUCAGCAAAUACAAUGCAAGAAAAAAGGUGGGGCUAUAUUUUUAUUUAGAAAGACUCAAAGGUCAAGCAGGCGCAAUGAUUGUAACUUGAUGGGAAUCCUGACUCAAACAAACUGAAAGAGAAUAAAAGAGAAUUGGGAACCUGAACACCCACAGGCUACUUAAUAGUAGGAAGGAAUCACUCUUAAUUUCUGUAUGCAAUAAUGGUAUUGAGGUUACAUUUGCAGCAGUCUUUCAGAGAUGCUCAUUGAAAUAUUUCUGGUAUGAUAUAUGGGAUUUGUUUGAGAAUAAUCAGGAAAGGGGUACAAGCUAGAAUUGGAGAUGAAUUGAGAGACUAUCCUCCAGUCAAAUUUCGAAGCUGAAUCAUUAGUCUGUGGAGUUCUUAUAAUACCUUCUCUCUCUGCUUCUUAGCACUUCGCAAUUUCCAUAAUAAUUCUUUAAGGGGUACCUUUAAAAGUGCCUUACCAUUGAUAUUAGUUUAAAUAAAAGAAGUUUUGAG
ensembl:lncRNA